rnacentral:rRNA from 1 species
CAAGACCUUGCGCUUUUGGAGCGGCCGAUGUCUGAUUAGCUAGUUGGUGAGGUAAAGGCUUACCAAGGCUUCGAUCAGUAGCUGGUCUGAGAGGACGACCAGCCACACUGGGACUGAGACACGGCCCAGACUCCUACGGGAGGCAGCAGUGGGGAAUUUUGGACAAUGGGGGAAACCCUGAUCCAGCCAUGCCGCGUGAGUGAAGAAGGCCUUCGGGUUGUAAAGCUCUUUCAGCCGGAACGAAACGGUCACGGCUAAUACCUGUGAUCACUGACGGUACCGGAAGAAGAAGCACCGGCUAACUACGUGCCAGCAGCCGCGGUAAUACGUAGGGUGCGAGCGUUAAUCGGAAUUACUGGGCGUAAAGCGUGCGCAGGCGGUUUUGUAAGUCAGAUGUGAAAUCCCCGGGCUUAACCUGGGAACUGCGUUUGAAACUACAAAGCUANGAUCGAUGGAGAAAAGCAAGGGAUCGGUAG